AGCAAGUUCUGAUCGCUGCCUGGUGAGGAGGUGGUUUUGUCUUGCCAAGUACUUUCUGCAGUUAAAUCUGGAGCAGGAUGGUGGAGUUAUUUCCAUACAUGACUGAGAGGCGCCUAUGUUAAAUAAUGAGGCAAAAUUGAAGACCUGUUCUGAAAGGCAGUUCUGUCAAAGCUCUUGGCUAACUUGUGCUCAGUUAAGUGCACCAUGAAUCAUCAGCGGGGAGCUAGAUAUUAUCCAGUGUGACACUGAAUUGCUGGCUGACUGGAUUUUUCACAGAAACUUUAUCAUACAGGUAGGAUGCUUCCUUGUACUUCUUCUGAUAGUGUGAAAGUAUUAAAUGAAAACACAAAUAUGGAUAUAAAUGUCUUACCCCAUUUUUCAGCAGAACCACAUCUUCUGUCUCAACAAUUCACUGCUAAGAGGAUCACAGUGAUGAAUAGAAUCACUGCAAAGAAGUACAGAAUGAUGGCAGUGUAACACCACUGUGCGUUCUCGGAGCAGGCUGCUAGUGAAGAGAAAAGGAAGAAAGGUCUCACAACAGGAUCAGAAGAGCCUGGCUAGUUCUUUUUAUCAUGCUAGAUGUUGAGAAGAUGCCUAAAAACAUGACCUCUCAUUUUCUGAAGCUGUGCACAGCUUUGCCAGCACUCUCACCUUACUGUGCAGUUCACCAGCUGUGGCCGCACAGCUCUGCUAGAGCAUUUUACUCAGCAGUAUACCUAGCUGUUCUGUCCCUGAGUGUCCUUUGGAAAAUGGCUCAUAACAGUGGUGCUAACAUGGAUUAUUAUUCUGAAUUUACAUAGCUGAACACUCAGAAGAAAAUUAUGAUGUUCUCCUUCAGGCUUUUUAAAGAAGUUUUCAUGGGUAAUUCAGAAUUCUACAGACUGCUUUUCCCAGAUGGACUUUUAACACUCUUUUUAAACACAACAAAGAAAUAUGUGUUUAAUUAGUUGUUAAA